AAGUAUUUAUCAACCAAGUCAACAACUCAAGUCAAACAAAAGUCAACCAAAAAUCAAACAAAAAUAAAUUAAAAGGCAAAUUAAAAUGAUUUUAAAUGAAAAAUAAAGAGACAAUUCAAAUCAAGCACCAAAGCAUAAAAGAAAUAGUUGAAAAAAUUAUGAGAAGUCAAGAAUAUUACAAAUAAAAGGACCUAAAAAGUUGGGUGCAAAAAUAUUUUAAAAUGAUUAAAAAAUAAAUUGCAAAAUGAAAUUAAAA
rnacentral:lncRNA from 1 species